rnacentral:lncRNA from 1 species
ACUUUUCUGCUGGCUUGUCCGAAAGAGAGGAACCCGCUGCCGAUUGUGAGCUGCGUUAUUUUGCAAUGGUUUUUGAAUCAGGUGAUAUCUCAAAGUUUUCCAGGCUUUAUUCUUCACGUCCAGUCAAGGGUCCAAUCUUACUAACAGCAGCUUUGAUCAGAUCAAAUAUGUACUCCGUAGAAGAACUUCCUCCUGCCUGAAAGGAUCACCCCGGAGCCAUCUGGUAGAAAGAAAGGAUGCUUUGUGAACCGGACAAUCCUCGAUAAGUAUGCUCUGGAUGUUGGGAUUUCUCUUCCCGUCAAUCUGGAAUCUCAGAUGCUUGUCCAAGCCAGCAGCAAGCAUCAGUUCUCCAUUCCUAUGAAACUGAGCUGAAUUAAUAGCACCAUUAGAUGGCUCCUGAGCAUUAGCAUCAACAAACCUUGAGAAGUCGAACAUGCCACAGUACCCUUAGUAACAAGCUCACGUUGUUCUGAAGGAUUUAUUUUUUUGAGG